rnacentral:rRNA from 1 species
UACGUAGGGUGCAAGCGUUGUCCGGAUUUAUUGGGCGUAAAGAGCUCGUAGGCGGUUUGUCACGUCGGAUGUGAAAACCUAUGGCUUAACCAUGGGCCUGCAUUCGAUACGGGCAGACUAGAGUUUGGUAGGGGAGAUUGGAAUUCCUGGUGUAGCGGUGAAAUGCGCAGAUAUCAGGAGGAACACCGGUGGCGAAGGCGGAUCUCUGGGCCAAUACUGACGCUGAGGAGCGAAAGCGUGGGGAGCAAACAGG